UACGGAGGAUGCAAGCGUUAUCCGGAAUGAUUGGGCGUAAAGCGUCCGCAGGUGGCUGUGUAAGUCUGCUGUCAAAGAGCAAAGCUCAACUUUGUAAAGGCAGUGGAAACUACACGGCUAGAGUGCAGAAGGGGCAACUGGAAUUCUUGGUGUAGCGGUGAAAUGCGUAGAUAUCAAGAGGAACACCUGCGGCGAAGGCGGGUUGCUGGGCUGACACUGACGCUGAAGCGCGAAAGCCAGGGGAGCGAACGGG
rnacentral:rRNA from 1 species